rnacentral:lncRNA from 1 species
CUUCCUCACCUUUUUUGGGGUGUUAUGCCAUUGGAUGUUCAUGUUCUUGAUGCUCAUGCUGAUCCUCAACCCGAACUUUGAUUGUGGAAGUAAAGCUGGCUGUCUUUGUUUCUGAUAAAGUACCGGAUAUUGUCAUGGGAGAUCCCGGAAGAUUCAGACAAAUAAUAACAAAUCUUGUAGGCAACUCUGUUAAAGUAAGUGGAAUUUCGAAGUUUAUCUGUCUGAUGUUAUUUGCAUUUGGAAAUGUCAUUUUGACUGUUUCAGUUUUCUUACUUUUAGAUUUAGCCUUUUCUUUUCUUCUUCCCCCCACUUUUUGCUGGCUAGUGUGGAAGAGGGCAAUGGUUUUAGUGCUCAAAUCCUUCAUAUUCAUUUUGUCCAUUGCAUUCAUGUAAUUUGCACGUCUUGCAGUUCACUGAACAUGGACAUAUAUUUGUCAAAGUCCAUCUAGGGGACAAUAGAAAGCCCACACUGAAUGGAAAACAUACAAAUGGAGAAUCAGAUGAAGUUUUCCAUAUAUCUGAUGAUUAUCAUUUCAAAACCUUAAGUGGACGUGAAGCAGCUGACGAACGGAAUAGCUGGGAUAAUUUUAAGCACCUAAUUGCUGAUGAAAAAUCUUGCCUUGAUUCUUCAAGAGAAACGGUGGCUACUAGUGAAACUUCUGAGCAAGUCACCUUGAGGGUGUGUGUGGAAGACACAGGAAUUGGAAUUCCUUUUUCAGCACAGGAUAGGAUAUUUAUGCCUUUUGUGCAGGCUGACAGCUCAACUUCACGAAAUUAUGGGGGAACUGGUAUUGGCUUGAGUAUCAGCAAAUGUCUGGUUGAACUAAUGGGUGGUAAGAUAAACUUCAUAAGCCGACCCCAGAUUGGUAGCACUUUCUCUUUUACAGCAGUUUGUGGAACCUUUAAGAAAAGUUCGGUUAGUGACAUGAAGAAAAGUUUGGAAGAUCUUCCUUCAAGUUUUAGAGGGCUGAAAGUCAUUGUCAUUGAUGGAAAACCUGUUAGAGCUGCUGUGACUAGAUACCAUUUGAAGAGACUAGGUAUACUAGUUAAAGUUGAAAAUAGCAUCAGUAAGGCUGUUGCUUUAUGUGGUAAAAGUGAUUCUUUGAACUCAGGGUAAGUUCUAUUUUUCCUUCUCUAUUUUGAUUUUUUGUUUGGAUAAAAUUAGAGUUAAUUAUGAAGAAACUGAAAGUGAUAAAAGAACUACAGUGGUAUCAACCUUUUGAUAUUGUCAUAACACAUGCUUGUGGUUUUAAAAAAGCCCUUUAAACUGACUAUGCAAGUUUAUACAUAUUUUGCAGUUUUAUCCGGGUGUUAUUGUUGGGAAGUCUCACAUGGCUUACCUCAAUUCUUGGGUGUGCCUUAUAUAAAGCAACUUUGUUUAAUGCCAAUUGAUUUUAAGAUGCAAUUUGACAGUGAUGUCGUGCUAUGGCCCCGUUUUUUGUUUGAUAAUGUAUUGGCAUAGUCAUAAUUCAAAUGCUAAGUUUCAGUAUGGAUAUUUUUCAAAUGUCUAUUGGUUGUGUUUCAGUUGUUUUCAAUUUGAAAUCAAUUCGUGACGACAUAUUUCUUGCUUGUGUCUAUUACUUGUAGUUUUUCAUUCUUGUGGCUUUUAUUAUUCUUGUAAGUUAUAUUGUGAAAUUGCUUGUGACUGUUUCUUUUACUACAUUUUGAGAAGAUGUGCUAUUACAAUGUUUUUUUGUUCAAGUUGCUUGGUUCAGUUCAUUCACUAAUGAAACUACUUGGAUGUGGCAGAACGUUCCUGCCAGAUAUUAUCAUGGUUGAGAAAGACACAUGGAUAUCGGGCGAGGAUGGGAUUUUCAAUGUAUGGAAACAGAAUGGUCACAUGUUUAAGAGGCCUAAAAUGAUCCUUCUGGCAACCAAUAUUAGUAAAACUGAAUUUGAUAAAGCUAAGGCCAUGGGUUUCAGUGAUACUGUGAUCAUGAAGCCUCUGAGAGCUAGUAUGGUGGCUGCUUGUCUUCAGCAAGUUUUGGGGAUGGGGAAGAAGAGGCAGCUAGGGAAAGACAUGCCUAAUGGUUCUGCUUUUCUACAAAGCCUUCUCUAUGGAAAGAAAAUCUUGGUGGUUGAUGACAAUGGAGUAAACCGAAGGGUUGCUGCAGGUGCUCUGAAAAAGUUUGGAGCUGAUGUGAAAUGUGCUGAAAGUGGCAAAGCCGCACUUGAAAUGCUGCAAUUGCCUCACAAUUUUGAUGCUUGCUUCAUGGACAUUCAAAUGCCAGAAAUGGACGGGUAUGCAUAUUUAUAUCGACUGUUAUUAUCGCUUCUUUUCCUGCUUUAUUACACAUGUUAGAGUUAUUUAUACUUAAGUACUUAGGAAAAUGUAGAUUCAUGUAAAUGCAUUUAGUGUUCAUGGUACUAUUGUCCAGGAAGUUACUCAAUAGCAUUUCAUGUUUGUUACAUCCUUAAGAUCUAUUAGAUAUAAGAGUUUUGUUACAUAUUAUGGCAAUGUAAAAACCUCAAUUUUCUCUAUAUCUUGGUUUGUUCAAACAUGUUCUAAUUCAUGGAAACAAAUAACUGUGUUUACACAUUCUGCAGAUUUCAAGCAACAAGCCAAAUUCGGAUGAUGGAGAGCAAGGCAAAUGAGGAGAUGAAGAAUGGGAGUGAGUGGCAUGUGCCUAUAUUGGCCAUGACAGCUGAUGUGAUCCAUGCUACAUAUGAUGAGUGCUUGAAACGAGGCAUGGAUGGAUAUGUCUCAAAGCCAUUUGAGGAAGAGAAUCUGUAUCAGGAAGUUGCAAAGUUUUUCAAAUCAAAGACCAUCUCAGACUCAUCACAAUCUGCUUCUUACUUGGCAACCAACUAGAACAUUGGAGACAACACAUUCUAGUACGAUUGCUUCUACCAUGUUGCAUGUAACUUGUUCUUAUGCUUAGAUGCAUAGAGUAGCACUUGUUUUUCCAACAUAUUUGAGUUCAUUGAUGAGGGAUCAUACUAACAGCUGCAGUUUGGUAUUGUUAGAGUAAAUGUAUACCACGCCACACCCCCCAACUGUGUACAGAUUAUGGGUAGGGUUCGAGUGAAAUUAUGUAAAUUCAAUGUUUUUUCCUUAUAUUAUUACUUCCCCACCCAUCAUUUACAAGGCUUUUUAAAGCAAUAGCUUUUUAUGUAAAUGUGUCAUGUAAUAGAUUUGGUCACUAAUAUUUAAAAGUGUGUGCUUAUGUUUAGUGCAGAACAUCUUUGGUGCAUGGAGAAAGGCCAAAAAGACAGUUUUGUUUGUUAAACAAAUCAUUAUUUAUUUAUAUGAAGUUGAAGUUGAAGUAAUUAUUCACUUACAUAUAGUUUGUUUGACAUUGUUUAUGAGAAUCUGAACUAACUUUUUACAGGUUCAAAUUUCAGUUUCAAAAUCUUGCAAAUUUACAUUAGUUAGUAUGAUUAUUUGGACUUCUCUUUUCAUUGUGAUGUUUUAGCAGAUAUUUGGCAAACAAUUGAGUAAUGCACAACUGCUAUGGUUAGGUACAACAGUUUUUCAUUUUCUUCUCUAAUUGCAAAUUCUGGUGCAAAUGCACCUGAUUGAGGAAGAUGGUACUAAAGUCAAAUGUUCAAUAAUAAUUGAAAUAUAUAUAACAUGCAAACAUGUUUCUUUUGCUGAAUUUUAAAAGUAUGACAUAAGUACACAUUAGUGGGUUAGGAAGUGCUGGAAUGUCGUAUAGAAAAACAGCAAUUUUAAGAACAGAAGACCAAAACAAAGUUAUACAAGAAAGUUUGUUGGCAGUUAUUGACCUUCAUUCUUGUAUUCAUUAUUUAAUAUCAGCAACUUNNNNNNNNNNNNNNNNNNNNNNNNNNNNNNNNNNNNNNNNNNNNNNNNNNNNNNNNNNNNNNNNNNNNNNNNNNNNNNNNNNNNNNNNNNNNNNNNNNNNNNNNNNNNNNNNNNNNNNNNNNNNNNNNNNNNNNNNNNNNNNNNNNNNNNNNNNNNNNNNNNNNNNNNNNNNNNNNNNNNNNNNNNNNNNNNNAUAUAUAUAUAUAUGGUUACAGAAUAAAAAAGAAAGAUAAUGAACAUUACCUAACAUCACAUUGAUUCUCCCACAUUGGGACACCAUCUUUUAGUUGCUUUUAGCCGCCACUAAUUUGGCUUAAUUACCAACAUAUCAUUGACUUAAAAGUGUGAUCACAAAAUGGGGAACCAAAAUGGAAAAUGCACCAAUUUAGGUCAACUUUCAUAACAUCAAAAUUAAACAUGUUUGGUUGAUUCCACAACUUCUCUUCAUCACCCUUUUCCAUUUUAUUCCUAAAAUUCACAGAACUAUUAUAUUUUUUUUUAUAUGAAUAAAAUAUGUUCAUGAUUGAAUCCUCUCCCCCUUUGACUUUCUUGACUUACCCUCCCUAACACACUGAUAUUUUGGCCUUUAAAUACUGAGAUUAUAGAUAGAUGGAUUUUCCUUGUGACUUCUUAUGUGAGGGUUUUUGCUUUAUCUUUGUUUUGUCUUCAGUCCAUCACCAUGGUUUUUGGAUGGUGCUGCUCUGUGUGUCUCUUAUUUGUCUUGGUGGGUUUGAGAGUAGAGGAAGCCAAUGCUCAGUUUUAUAGAAAAGUUGGAACAAAACACUUACCUUACUGGUCAAUAGUGGUGGAUCAAUCAGGGCAUGGAAACUUCACUACAAUACAAUCUGCCAUUGAUUCAGUCCCUUCUCACAACAUGUAUUGGGUUUCCAUCAAGGUCAAGGCUGGUACCUAUAGGUAAAACUAUAAUAUUCUCAUAUGCACAAGUUUAUCAACCAUUCAUGUUAUAUGUUCAAGAUGUUCAAGUUAUAACCAAACAUGUUAUAAGCUACAUUUUAUUUUUUGGUUUUGAUGGUAUUCAAUUUGGUUUCUUCAAGAGUAUAUGAAAUAUAUCAUGUGGUAUUAGGUUAUUAUUGGAGGUCUUACAUCGAUUAGAGAUAAAAACAUUUGAUAAUAUAUAACUGAAUGUAAACUUCAUCUUAAAAAUCGGUUUUAUAUGAUUGAGUUAGGUUUAAAGUUUACUUCGUAAUAUGGUAUAACCAUUUAGAGUCUAUUCCUAGCGAGAGUUUGUUGGACUUAUCAAAUCAGCCGCUAACAGACCAGUCUUAACAUGAGAGAUGUGUGUUGGAGACUCCCAUCGAUUAGAUAUAAGGACAUUUUAUAAUAUAUAAGUGAGUGUCAGUCUCGACAUGAGAGAUGUGUGUUGAAGAUGUCACAUCAAUUAAAUAUAAAGACAUUUUAUAAUAUAUAAAUAAGUACAAAACUCACGUAAAAAAUCUGUUUUAUAAUAUUAAGUUACACUUAGGGUUUAGGGUUUACUUCUGAAUAAUUAUAAAUUUUCUAACAAUAAAAUGGAUAAACAACACUCAUAUGGUAUAAAAAAUUAACAAAUUGAUGCAUAUUAUCAAUGUUAUACUGUUAGUAUAAUACACCAUACUAUGUAUUGGAUUAGUACAUGAAUUGUUUUGUAGUGUAAUUAGGGUAUGAUGAUGAUAUAAUUAAUAAUUUUGUUGAUUUUGAAUGAUUUUAUCUUGUUUAUGUUCAGAGAAAAAGUGAAGAUUCCUUAUGAUAAGCCUUACAUCAUAUUAAAAGGGGAGGGAAAGAGAAGAACUUUUGUUGAGUGGGAUGACCAUGAUAAUACCUCACAGAGUCCUACGUUUGCAGCCAUGGCUGACAAUAUUGUUGUCAAAUCCAUGAGCUUUAGGGUAAGAAUGUUCCAUCUACUGUUUCUUUUCAAACCUUUCUGUUUCCCACUUUUAGGUCAAAUUAAUGUUGUUCUUUAUUUUUAUUUUUCUUAAUUUACUAUAAAAAAAAUUAUUAAAUAAAAAUUAAUUUUAGAAAAAUAAUAAUUAAUCCUUAUAUUAAGUAAAUUAAAUAUUAUUUUAAAAAUUAAAAAAAAAUAUUAAUAUAAAUUAGUUUAUAUUAUUGUUAAUAAAAUUUAUAAAUUAGUUUAUAAAUCGGUAACAAAUUAGACACUGAAAUUUUAGCAAUCAAUUUUAGAAUCUAAAUAAUUAGUAGUUAAAAUCUUAAUAAUUAACUAGAGUUACUAAUCUAGAAACUAAUUUAUAAAUUUUAUGAAUAAUAAAAACUACUUUAGAUACCAAUAAUUUUUUUAUUUUUUAAAAUAAUAUCUAAUUUAGUUAAUAUAGUGACUAAUUAUUUUUUGUCUCUAAAGUUAAUUUUUUUUAGUUAUUUUCUUGUAGUGAUGAAAUUAUUCCUUUACCUUUAAAUUUUUGAUUUAGUUAUUUAUGAUUUUUUAAAAUAUAUUUCCUAUUUAAGCCAUGAUAGCCAAAUAUUUGACAAUGAAUUUGCUCAAUUCAUAUUAUAUUCCAGAAAUACAUAUUAGGAAUUAAAUAGUCUAUUAAAUAAUAUGAUUUUUGCUUACUUUAAUUAGGUCAAUGAAGCAAUAAUGUUAUGAAUUGAAAAUCCUACCUUUUAUUUUUUCAAGAAGGAAAAAAAUACUUUCUUUUACUUAUUAUUAAAAACUGAUGGUAUAUCUAUUUUUCUUUUAGAAAAAAAUAAAUCUUUAGUUAUAUUAUAAAGUAAAAAAUUGAAUUGAAUAUUGAAAUUUAAAUAUUAAUAUUAAUGUUGUAUUUUCACAAAUUAAAACAUUAAUAUAUCGAUUUGAAAAUCCAUAAACUAAAAUAUUGACAAAAAAAAUAUAAGAACUAAAAAUAAACUUUCCCUUUAUUUUAUAUUAUGCUCUUACGCAGAAUUUACAAAUGGAACUUUUCCUUCUUUUUUUCUUUUCUUUUUUCACAUUUUUCAAUAAUUUUGUUCUAUUCUCUUCCUUAAAAGUGCAAUCCACGUACACAGUUAGUAAAAUAUUUUCUCUCAACAAUUUCAAGUAUAUUUUUUUUUCUUUCUUUGUUGUCUUUUUAUGACUAAUUAAAUUACAUUUUUAAAAUGUUAUUCAUUAAAAUAAUUUUGUAUCACACUUUAAAUUAUUGAUUAUAAAUUUACAAUAGAUUUACGUAUUUGAAACUUCAAUUAAAAAAUUAUAUAGGAUUAAAAUACUAAUUACGUAUAAUUAAUAAUCCUAAUUUUCUUGCAUAGUCCCAUCACAUAUUUGUGUGUUUCCUACUCACUUUUCACGUUGAAAAUUGAGAAAAAAUAAUUAUUUGACCAAGUUUUUUAUUAUUAGUCUCAAGUAUUUUCUGGAAUUCAAACCAUUGCUGAUUUCUACAAAGUUAUUACUCCCAUUGAAUAUUUUCGGUUGAACAUUUUUCCAACAAAAAAAUAAUAAUUAUCACUUAGAAUAUGGUAGUUCCAAUCUUAUAAAUUUUUAUUCCAUUUACAAUUUUACAAACAUUAAAUGAUGAAAAUAAUUAUAUAAUAUAUUUUUUUUCUGGUCAAAAGGGAAGGGGCACAAGUUAAUAUAAUUCUAAAAAUUAAUUUUAUAAAAAAUAAUAAUUAGUUGUUAUAUUGAUUAGUUUCUAUUAUCUGUAUAAUUAGCUAUCAAGAUUUUAAUCAUAAUAUUUAAUUUAGUUAAUAUAAUAAUUUUUUUUUUCUUUUAUUGAAUGAUGUUCUUGUAGUGGAUAUAUAUAAACAAACUUAAUCAUAAAAUUUAAUUAAAAUCUUUAAUUGAUUAAUUAGUGUAUUUAAUGAGAUGAAUUAGAAAUUAUUAUUAUUUUGUACAUAUUAAAUUGUUUCAUUAUAAUUGUAAAUAAUAAUUAUAAUUUAUAUACCGUUAAGGAUUCAAUUUAUAAUAUCAUUGAAUAUAUAUAUCUUUCAAAUAAAAUAAUAAAAUAAUAAAAUCAAAUAAUACUUCAAUUAUGUCUUAAUUUUAAUUUUUAAGAUUAAAAAAGGUUGAUAAAUUAAGUGUAGUGGACUGAAAAUAUCAAGUUUUCCCACUAAUUAUUGCACUAAAUAUAACCUUCUUCUUCUGAGUUAGUUUUAAAGUUAUAUCAAAUAUAAAUUCAAAUUAUGAAAAUCAUCAUAAAUAAUAUUGUUGUUUUAUUAUCAGUAAAUAAUAAAUACAGGUAAUACAAGUAUUUGAGGAUGUUCUAAUACAUGUAUGAAACAUAUACCACUUCACACAUAACUUCUUAAUCUCUUUCUAGAUUUUGUUUGGAAGUAAAAAAAAUUGUGUUUAGUUUUGCAAAAUAAGAUUAAGUUGUGAUAAUUUUGUUGAACUUUGUGUAUGUGGAAAAGAAUUCAUACAACAACCCAAUAAAUAGUAAAGCCAAGGUGCCUGCUGUGGCUGCAAUGGUGAGUGGAGACAAGUCUUACUUUUUCAGAGUUGGUUUCUUCGGUUUGCAAGACACUUUAUGGGACGACACAGGAAGACAUUACUACAACCUUUGUACCAUUCAAGGUGCCAUUGAUUUUAUCUUUGGUGCAGCACAAUCACUAUUUGAGGUACCAAUAAUAAUAACUUUUACUUUUAAUUUCUAUUAACAAGUUAAUUAAUUUUAACUUAGUUUCAUAAAAUCGAUUCAGACGGUAAAAUUUGUAUUUACUUGUAUAUUAGGGUUUAUGGUAGAUUUGUAUCUACUUUAUCUAUAAUCGAGGUAGAUUUUCAAGAUUCAAGUUUGUAUUUACUUAUAUAUUAUAAAAUGUCUUUAUCUAUAAUCGAGGUAGAUUUUUGAUCUCGUCAAAUUACAAAUUGGAAGACUUAGAUGCUUUCUUUCUCCUUUUCUCUCCUUUAAAAAUCAUCCCUCUCUUAAAUAGUGUUUAAUUCAGCUUAUAUACUAACUUACUCAAAUAUCUCAACAUGAUAUACCUAGUCUUUGUUCCGAGUUAAACAACUACUUUUAUUUGAUAAUAGGUCAGUCAAUUGAUUGACCUAUCCGAACACCACAAUUUUCAAAGACUCAAAUUUAUAACAACUUUAGUUUUCUUUCUCAAAUUUGAUAGAAAAAUAGUUUGAUGUAUGAAUCAUUUUGAUAAAUAUACUUUUAUUUGAUAAUAAGUCGGUCUAUUGAUUGACCUAUCCGGACAACACAAUUUUCGAGACUCAAAUUUGGAAUAAUUCUAGUUUUUUUUUUUUUUCAAAUUUGAUAGAAAAAUGGUUUUAUGUAUGAGUGAUUUUGAUAAAUAUGUAUUGAUUUUGUUGGUAGAGGUGUUCCAUAUCUGUGAUUGGAGGGGCACUAGAUCCUGGGUCACCAGGUUUCAUCACAGCACAAGGGAGAACAAAUUCAGAAGAUGGAAAUGGGUUUGUUUUCAAAGAUUGCCAUGUGUUUGGAAAUGGUUCAACUUACUUGGGGAGGCCUUGGAGAAAUCAUGCUAGGGUUUUGUUUUACAAGACCAACAUCUCCAACAUUGUACAACCUUCUGGUUGGAAUGCAGGAAAAUUUGAUCCAUAUCAGUAUGUUUUGUUCCCUCUUUCUCAAUUAAUCACACAUUCUUUACAUUAACACAAGCUUAAUUCAUUCAUGUUAAUAUAUAAAUAUAUGAUUAGUAUAUGAUUAAACAACUAAUAAUGUAAAAAAAAUAAAUUAUCAUAAAAAGUGAUUUAAGCUAUUAGGAAAUCAACUUUUAAAGUGUAUUUCAACUCUUAUUAAGAAAGAGAACUUUAAACUUAACUCAACUUUAUAAACCGGUUUAUAAGGUGAUAUUUUUAUUUUUUUAUUUAUAUAAUAUAAAAUAUUUUUAUUUUUAAUCGAUGUGAGAUCUCUAUCAUAAACUAACUUUUAAACUAGUUAGGAGUACGAGUGUAUUAAUGAAUUUCGUUGACGCUUAAAAAAAAUAUUACUCAUUCACUUUAUAUAAAGAUUGAAGUAAAAAAUAUUACUCAUCCACUUUAUAUAAAGAUUGAAGUAGUUUUUUUUUUAUGUUUUUCAUAUUAAUUUAAUUUAUUUUUGUGAUAAAAAAAAAAUGUAAAAAGUUGUUAGAUCAAUCAUAAUACUACAAAAUGAUAUAUUACUCUCUAACCUAACUAGUUAAAGAAAAUUUGUAACACCAAAAAAAUAUAUCAAACUUAUAUAAAAAGCUUUUAUGUCUCUUAUUUAUCUCUUUCAUAACAAUGAAUUUUCAUUUCACACACAUCUUGCAAAGUUUUGUGGUUGAACUUUCUUCUCUUCAAAACUGUUGUAUAGAGUUUGUUAGUAGACAAACUAAUGAAGCUUCUCAAUCUUUUACAAGUCAUCUAAAUCUUUUGCUUGUGAACAAAACUUUGAUUUUAAUUAAAUGUAGUUGAAACUUUGUGAUCUAAUAUAAGGUUUUGGGUAUAAAAAAAUUGCAGGGGUGGCAUAACAUUUGCAGAGUAUGGGAAUUUUGGGCCAGGUUCUGACACUUCUGAAAGAGUGAGUUGGAGCAAGAAGUUGGACUUAGAAACAAUUGAGAAUAUGACAAGCACCAAGUUCAUAGACACUGAUGGUUGGCUUCACAAACAACUAUUUUAAUGCAAACAUCUAAACAAAAUUACUAAACAAAUAUACAAAACUUGGUUAAUUUAGGAUUUAUUUAUAGAAAAACAUUUCAUUAGUAUAAUAUGUUUUUCUUUAGUAUGUUCUUAGAAUUCUUUAUGAAUAGAUAUAAUCUAUUUAUGUAUCGUUUUUGUUAACAUAUGAGUUUUAGUCUAGUUCUUCCAUAUUUUUGUAUUUACUUUUUUUUUAAUAAUAUUUUUUCAUGUGAUGACAGAUGAUUGUUGUUACUUGAUGUGUAGCCUAGUUCUGAGAUGUCAAGUUGCAUGGUGAUGCCUAACAUAAAAGCAUUUUUAUAAAAAAAAUAAAUAUACAAAAGUCAUAACAUACUAAAAAAAAUCACUAAAUAGAAACCAAUUUUAGAGACAAAAAACAAUUAAUCAUUAUAUUAACUAAAUUAAAUAUUAUUUUAAAGACUAACAAAAUUAUUGGUAUCUAUAAUAGUUUCUGUUAUUUAUAAAAUUUAUAAAUUAAUUUAUAAAUUGAUAUCUAAUUAGUUAUUAAGAUUUUAGUUACUAAUUACUUUAAAUUCUAAAGUUGGUAGCUAAACUCUUAGUAUCUAAUUAAAUACCAAUUUAUAAACUAGUUUAUAAAUUUUAUUAACAAUAAAAAUUAAUUUAGAUACUAAUAAUUUUUUUAAUCUCUAAAAUAGUAUCUAAUUUAGUUAAUAUAGUAACUAUUUAUUUUUUUCUCUAAAAAUUAGUUUUUAUUUAAUGAUUUUAUUGUAGUAUUGAUAACUUCAUACUAGGAACAAUUAAUCAAAUACUUUAAAAUUAUCAAAUGAUUUGCACAAUCUUGUUACAAUAGGUUCAUUAACCUUUUUAAUUCAAUAAUCAAUGUAGUUUACCUUUUAGGUAGAGAAUUAGUUUAUAUAUACAUGGUCUUAUUAGUGUGAUUGGAUUUGUGUUUUUUAUUUUGUCUCAAAUCCAUGACAUAUUUUUUCUAAUAAAAUGAAAAUAUUAUUAUUGAUUAGUUCAAUUUUGGUUUAUUUGUAUUUUUUUUCUUACUUCCUAAAGCAACCAGUUUUGAUUUCGAUUUCUACAAAAAAAUUCUAAAAUUGAAAAUUAGUAUUUUCUUUCACAUUAUUAUGUAGUAAUAAUUAUGUGUUUAUGUGCUAAAUAAAAAAAAUGGCGCACACUAAUCUUGAGAUAUAAUGUUAACAUGUAACAUUUUAAAAAGUUUUAAAUUAAUAAUUUAUCUAUAAAGACUUAAAAGUACUGAUUUCAAAAUUUUGAGAAAUAAAAAUUAAAGAAAAUAUUUCAGAGAGAUUAAAACUAAAUUUCAUAAUAAUUAAAAGAAUUUAUUUUUCUAUAAAUGAAAAAUAUAUAGGAAUUUUCUUAUAGAGAUUAAAAUCAAAAUCAUUAAUUUUAUAAUAACUAAAAAGACAUGUGUAUGUGUAAAAAAAAAUAAUAGAAAUGAACAUUUUAGUUUUUACUUCUAAAUCCCAAGUUGGUUUACGUUCAAUCUUUCUUUCUCAAUUGUAAAAUAAACAAUUAUAAGUAUUUUUUUCUGUCAUUUUGGUUUAUACACAAAUACAUAAAAUCACUUAUAACUAUUCACUUAUAUCCUCCUUAGAUAAAUAUAUAAUAUCACUCCUAAUAAUAUAACAAAAGUUAUUUUAGUGAUUAAAACACCAUCCAAAAAUUCAGUUAUCGUAUAAUUAAUUGAAUGAACAUUUAUACACUAAAGUUGAAAACUAGAAGUCGAAAUUAUAUUUUUCAAAAAUUAGAUUUUGAUGAUCCACCAAACGAUCUUUCUCCACUCUAGUUCAUUAUUGAAAACAAAAAUACCUCCAAAAUUCGACUUCUUAAAAACCAAAUUAUGAAAACCUUUAUUUUACAAAAAUAAGAAACAAAGGUGAAAAUUCGGGUGAUUAGGAACCGAAUUCUCACCGUGAACCAAAAAGGUGUUAUCCAUGCACUAGAAGAAAAUAAUUAAAUUGUAACUAAUUUUAGAUACCAAAAUAAUUAGUUACUAUUGGACUAAAUUAGACACCAUUUUAAUGACUAAAAAAAUUAUUAGUAUCUAAAGUACUUUCUAUUAUUAAUAAAAAAUUAUAAAGUAAUUUUUAAAUUAGUAUCUAACCAUUCACUACAAAUAUUUUAACUACUAAUAAUUUAGAUUCUAAAUUAGUCACUAGAAGACUAAUUGAGAUCAAUUUAGAAUCUAAAAUAUUAAUAGCUAAACUUAGAUAACUAAUUUAGAUAUCAAUUUAGAAACCAUUUUAUAAAUUUUUAUCAAUAAUAGAAACCACUUUAAAUAUAAAUAGUUUUUUAAUCUCUAAAAUAAUAUAUAAUUUAGUUAAUAUAAUAAUUAAUUAUUUUUUUUAUCUAAAUUUGAUUACUAUAUAAUGAUUUUUUUUGGUAGUGAUAGAAUUAAAUAGGAAAUGGUGUUAUCCAAGAAAAUAAUUCUCAAAUAAAAAUGUCAUUGUGGUGAAGAAAGUCUAUUAUUUCUUAAUUAAUUGCCUAUAAGCAACGUCUUGGUCUCAUGAUUUAUUGUAAUAAUAAAAUGUGUUCAAACAAUAUGUUAUAACUCAUCACAUGUCAUCUUAUAUUUAUAUUUUUCUAACGUUACAUCUUUUAAGCAUUAAUUAAGAAGUUAAACCGAGUUUAUUUAUUUUAUGCAAAUGAAGGUUAUUAUAUCACUACAAGAAAAUCAUAAAAAAGAAACCAUUUUUUAGAAACUAAAAUAAUUAGUUGCAAUAGUAACUAAAUUAGAAAUCAUUUUAGAAACUAAAAAAAAAUGUUUAUAAAUUAAUUUCUAUUAUUGUUAAAUAGUUUCUAAUCUGAUAUCUAAUUAGCUACCAAAGUUUUAACUACCAAUUAUUUAGAUUAUAAAUUUGGUAGCAAAAACUUUGGUUGUUAAUUAAAUACCAAUUUAGAAACCAUUUAACAAUAAUAUAAACUAAUUUAGAAACAAAAAAUUUAUUUAGUCCCUACAAUGGUCUCUAAUUUAGUCACUAUAACAACUAAUUAUUUUUUGUAUCUAAAAUUGAUUUCUAUUUCAUGAUUUUCUUGUAGUGUAUAUAACACUUAAAUAAAGCCAAAUUUAUAUAUAUAUAUAUAUAUAUAUAUAUAUAUAUAUAUAUAUAUAUUAAAAUAUAUGAAUUCUUCACGAAAAUGUACAUACAAAAAUAUUAAUAUAUACUUAUACAAAUAUACUUCACAUAAAAAAUAUCAUAUUUUUUGUGAAGGGAAUGUGUGUGCUGAUAAGUUGACUAAUUUAAGAUUUAUGCAUAGAGAAUCAUUUCAUUGGUAUAAUAGACUUCCAUCUAGUUUUUUCUUAGAAUUCUAUCGUUUUUGUUAACAUUUGAGUUUUCGUAUAGUCCUCCCAUAUUUUUGUAUUUUUUUUUUUUUUUGACAAAUGAUUGUUGUUACUUGAGGUGUCAACCUAGCUGAGAUGUCAAGUAGCAUAGUGAUGCUUAACAUAAAAGUUUUUUUAUAAAAAAAAGAAAAUACUCAUCACAUAAAAAAUAUCAAUAUAAUUUGUUAAGGUUAGAAAGUAUACCAUCACAAGAUUUUUUUCUAAUAACAACUAAUUUAUAAAAAAAAUAUAAUGACUAAGUUAGAUAUUAUUUUAUAAAUAUAAUGAAUUUUAUUAACCAUUACAAUAAAAUCAUUAAAUAGAAACUAAUUUUAGAGAAAAAAAUAAUUAGUUAAUAUAUUGACUAAAUUAGAUAUUAUUUUAAAAAUUAAAAAAUUAUUGGUAUCUAAAAUAUUUUAUAAAUUGGUAUAUAAUUAACUACGAAUAUUUUAGCUACCAAUACUUUAACUCCAAAUAUUAGAAUAUAAAGUAAUUGAUAACUAAAAUCUUAGUAGCUAAUUACCUACUAAUUUAAACUAUUUUAAUACAAAUAAAUUUUAAAUUUUUAAACUCUCUAAUUUAAUAAAAAUAAUAAUUAAUUAUUUUUAUCUUUAAAAUUGAUUUCUAUUUAAUAAUAAAAUUGAUCUCUAAAAUGGUAAUCAAAAUAGUAGUGAGUAUUUACAUAUAUUAAUAAUAAAAUUUUACAAUUAUUUUUGUAUAAUAAUAAGUUAAUAAAUUCAUAUUUUUAUCGUUUUGGUAAUAUUUAUGUAGAAGUAUAAAUGCAUACUAAUUUAUUUAGUUAGUUCUAUUAAAUAUAUAUUUAUUAAGUUAUAUUUAUUAAUUCCGUUAAAAAAAAGUUAUAUAUAUAGCAAUGUUAUUUUAUUACCAUGUUGUAAGAAACUGAAUAAUAUUAUUAAUCUCAUUUAUUAAUAAUAUAAUUAUAACUAAUAAAUGUAUAACAUGUAUAAAUUAACAUUUUUAAUAAAUUAAAUUAUACUCACAGUUCAUAUAGUUUUAAAUUAAUCAGUGCCUUUGUUACGUUUUAUUAAGAUGACACUCUCAUCUCAUUUUUUUUAAUAAAUAUUUACCUUGUUUAUAAUUUUAAUACAUAUUAAUUCUAUAAAAAUCUUUUAAUUCUAACUUCAAUCAAUUUAUCUAACUGUUUUUUUUAAAUAUUGGUUUAAAAAAGAUUUAAAUUACUAACAAAUUUGCAAUAGUAAAAAAAGUAAAACUAUUUCGUAUUUCCCUUCAAUCUUAUUAUGCAAGCAUAAAGUAACAAAAAACUAUAGACAAAUUGAAAAUUGAAAUGAAGAUUUAAUAAAGUUAGAUAUUAUUAAAAUUAAGAUAUCAAAAUUGCAUAAACAAAAUUCAGGGAAUAAAAUUACAUAUAACUAAUAAAUAAAGGAUAAAAUUUUGAAAAAUAUUUAACCGCCAAAUUACAGUUUUUGUAAUAUAAAAGGACCUAUAUACAAUUAAGUCUAAAAAAUAUAUUUAUUUUCCAUAUUUGAAACAUUUUAUUUUUUAUUAAAUAUUUUUAUUAAUUUUAUUGAAUACGUUACUUUUAAAUAUAAAAAAAUGAAAAUAAGGGUAAUUUUAUUAAAAAAAUAAGGAAAACAUGUGUCAUUUAUUUAAAUAUAAAAAUUAAAAAGGUGAAUAUUAUUUAAAAACUGGAAAGAAUCUUUUAUCAUUUUAUUAAAACUGAAAAAUAUGCAUUUAUUUUAAAAUAAAAGAGAUGAAAACAUAAUUUAAGAUGAAGUUAGAUACAAUUUAGCCUAUUUAUAAAAAAAAUCAGUAUUUGUUAUAUAUUUAUAUAUAAUAUUAUUUGAUUUGGAAGAAAUGUGGUAAAAGUGAGAAUACAUAUUGAGAAAGAAUCCCUUUUAUUAAUUAGUAAUAAAUAAUUGAGCAUCCGUAUUAGGGAAAAUAUAUACACAAAAGGAAGUUGUUAGAAAAAUAAAUAAAAAAUCAAAUAAAAAGAAAUGACAAAUUAAGAAGAUAAAUAUUGAAAUGAAUUAAUAUAUUAAUAGUAAUUAUUGGAGCAUUUAUUUUAUAAUUUAUUAGCCACUAACAGAAGAAUUGAUUUUUUUUUUUACUUAAAAAAUAUAAUUUUUUUGAUCAUCUAAAGUAUAAAAAUAUAUUUAUAUAUAAAAAAAUAUUCUCUUGAUCUUCAUGCAUAUAUGUGAUUUUUUUAGAAUCAUAAAUUAUUAAAGAAAUUGGUUUUAAUAUAAAAACUUUUCAUUCUCUUACUUUGUCCUCAUCAUCAUAAAAGAAUUUGUCUUUAAAUACUAACUCUCAUUAGCACAAACUCUCUUGAAUUUGUCCAUUCAUUCAACCAUUAUUCAACAAAUUAGUUGAAUUUCCUUCCCUAUUCUCUAGGAAACUUGUGUUUUUCUCUCAUCAUGUUUCUUGCACUCUCUUCUUUCGUAACCCUCUUUCUUUUGGCUUCUAAUGAAGUUGUGUUAGCAAAUUUUCACCAUUAUCAUCACCAUGUUCAGGAUGAUAAGUCAGUGCUUGUUGAGAGGUUGAUUACUGUUGAUCAAUCUGGGCAUGGAGACUUCACCAAGAUACAAGCUGCCAUUGAUUCAGUCCCUUCCAACAACAAGAACUGGAUUUCCAUCAAAGUCAAUUCAGGCACCUACAGGUAAAAUACUGUUUAAAAUUAAAAUAAUAUUUAUGGAUUCAGAUACACAGACACUCUUUGCUACUACACUCCCAUCUAACAAUCAAUCACUUUUUAAGGUUUAUAUGGGAAUGUACAACAGAGAGUAUCGUAUCAUGAUAUUUUCUGUCAGUACACUCCCAUUUAACAAUCUGUCAUUUUUUUAAGGUUUAUAUGAGAGUGGACGACAAAGAAUAUCGUAUCAUGAUAUGCUCAUACUUUUUGUCAGCACGCUCCCAUUUAACAACUAGACAUUUUUUAAGAUUUAUAUGGGGGUGUACGAGAAAGAGUAUCGUAUCAUGAUAUGCUCAUACUUUUUGUCAGCACGCUCCCAUUUAACAACUAGACAUUUUUUAAGGUUUAUAUGGGGGUGUACGAGAAAGAGUAUCGUAUCAUGAUACGUUCAAUCCUUUUUUUUUGUCAGUACAAUCCCAUUUAACAACCAGUCAUGUUUUAAGGUUUAUGUGGAAGUGUACGAGAGAAAGUAUCCUAUCAUAACAAGUUAACACUUUUUGUCAGUAUACUCCCAUUUAUUAAGGUUUAUAUGGGAGUUUACGAGAUAAAUAAUGUGUCGUAUCAGUAUCAGUAUUCGAAAUUAUCUGAUGUGUGUUGUAUUGUCGAUUGAAGGGAGAAGGUGAUGAUUCCUGAAGACAAGCCUUAUAUAGUCCUAAAAGGAGUGGGAAAAAGGUGCACCAUUGUUGAGUGGGAUGACCAUGAUUCAAGUGCACAGAGUCCUACAUUCUUAAGCAUGGCUGACAAUAUUGUGGUCAAGGCCAUAACCUUCAGGGUGAGAAAUAAAUGCCUCUUACGGUUUCUUAAUUACUGCUUCUGUUUCACAAAUUGCAUUAAUUAUUUUUCUUUAAUUCAUUCAAUUCAAUUCAUUUUUUAUUAUUUAUUUUGUCCAUACAUAUUCCCUAUACAUUUCAUUUUCCCUAUCUCUUUGGAGUAAUAAUGAACAGUCUCAUGGUAACUAUAUGUUGAAAACUCUUGGUAUAACCUAAUUAUCAUGCCUCUACAUAUAAACAUUUUUGCUUUUUAAUAUUAUUUAAACAUUUUUCGUAUGGAAAUCUCCAUCUUUAAUUAGAAAAUAUACACAAAAUAAGAGUCAUUACAACCAUUAUUAUCAGUUUCAAAAUUUCUUCCUAAGUUUUCCAAAUUAAUGAGGUUGACUUUUUUGGUAAUUGGAGAAAAUAAAAUAAUAAAAAGUUAGACUGGUAAUGUUUUUAUGAUGGUAACUGGAAAAACGUACGUCAACAACCACCUUCGUUUUUAUAAAUAUUUAAUUUAUAUCCAUUUUAUAUAAUUAAUUCCCAAGAUUUUUUCUGAAAAAAAGUUUAAAGAAGUUUAAUUCGUUACACGUAUUUUCUAAAGCAUUUUGGAAGGGCUAUGCCAAAACGUAAUGAUAAUAACAAUAAUCAUUAAUUAAUAAAAAUCAAGUUGAGAUUAUUAAUUGUUUGUUUUAAUAAAUGUAUUUCAUUUAAUGGAAAUUUCAUUCAUUCAAUUUCUUAAUUAAUGACUGUAAAUAUAAUUAAAUAUUUCUUUAAAUGAGAAAAUGUAAUUUUGGUUUGACAUUGUUGAGCAGAAUACUUACAAUGAUGCAAAGAAAGGGAACCCCAUGACACCUGCAUUAGCUGGAAUGAUAACUGGAGACAAGACAUCAUUCUUUCAAGUUGGCUUCUAUGGUUUGCAAGACACUUUGUGGGAUGUUAAAGGAAGACACUACUUCAAUUCUUGCACCAUUGAAGGUGCUAUGGAUUUCAUCUUUGGUGCUGGUCAAUCUUUACAUGAGGUAAUAAUAAUAAUAAUAACAAGGUUAAAUAUAUAUUUUUAUCCUGUUUCAAACUUUAAAUAUCUGUAGUAAUGAAAUUAUUAGAAUCAAUCCUUACUAAUACAUGUAGCAGACAAAUCAGUAAUUAUCCAUGUCAGCCAUCAGUAAUUAUCCAUGUCAUUUAUGAGAGUCGGUAUGAAAUAUUUUAACAUUUUUGUUCACAUUAAAAAUCCGUUUCACACGUGAAAAAGGCUGACAAUGGUUAGUUUCAAUAAUUUUCUUAGGGUUUAAAGUUUAGACACGGACGGAAAACAAAUUUUCAGAGUAGAUUAUAUUAUAAUAUCUUCAUCAACAAUUAUCCAUGUUAGCCAUGAGAGUCAGCAUGGAACAUUUUUGUUCAUAUUGAAAAUCCGUUUCACACGUGAAAAAGGCUGACAAUGAUAAUUUCAAUAAUUUUCUUAGGAUUUAAAGUUUAGACAUGGACGAAAAACAAUUUUGAGAUUUUGAGUAAAAAUACACUGACGAAAAACAAUUUUGAAUGAAAGUACAUUGACAAAAACCAUAUUUAACCCUAAUAAUGAAAAUGUUAUGAUGUUGGUUUCUCUAUGGUUAUUUAUGUGCAUUUCAUCAAACACUUAUUCUUUAGUGAUCUAAAAUUACAAUUUGAAUCAUUUUUUUUUUCAGAAUUGUAUGAUAUCAGUUCGUGAAGCGUUUCCAGGUAAAGCAGUGAUAGGUUUCAUCACAGCACAAGGGAGGACAGAUCCAGAAGAUUCAAAUGGUUUUGUUUUCAAGAACUGCAAAAUCUUUGGAGUUGGUAAAACUUACUUGGGAAGACCAUGGAGAGACUAUGCCAGAGUUCUUUUCUACAAAACUAUGAUGUCUUCCAUCGUCCAACCACUAGGUUGGCAGCCAUGGAACUCCACUUCCAAUGUGUAAGUUCUUCUUCUUCUUCUUCAAUCUUUCUUUCUUUGCAUUAAUCAUGGUUUUUCAUUGAAAGGUGUUUGAGAUUCCACAUCGACUAAAGAUUAAGACAUUUCAUAGUAUAUAAGUGAGUGUAAUCUUUACCUUAUAAGACAGUUUUAUAAGGUUGAGUUACAUUUCAUAGCAUAUAAGUGAAUGCAAACUUCAUCUUAUAAACUGAUUUUAUAAGGUUGAAUUAUAUUUCAUGAUAUAUAAGUGAGUGCAAACCUCAUCUUAUAAACUGCUUUUUUACAUUUAUGUAGAGCUAAAGUAACAUUCGCAGAGAGUGAUAAUUUUGGACUUGGUUCGUCCUUGUCAGGGAGAGUGAGUUGGUUGAAGAAAUUGGAUCCAGCAACUAUCACAAACAUGACAAGUAUACGGUUCGUGGACACCGAAGGUUGGAUCAACGCUCAUCAAAUCUUGUAAAUUGAUUUCAGAAAGGACCUAAGUGAUGAUGGAUAGGCAUGUAGUAUUAAUUACUAAAUGUUUUUUUUAAGAAAAAUGAUACUUUGACAACUCUGAAAUCAAUUUACAACUGUGAUGUGAUGUAAUAGAGUAUAAUUUUAAGAUAGUUUAACUUUAGUAAGAAGUGUUGUUUCUUCCUCCAAUUGUAAUGUGAUACAGAGUUAUCAAUGUAUCAUAUAUCAUCACUUUUAUUUGAAUGUUAUUCGAAUGUGAACUUUUUAUUUACUUAUUUCAGAAUGAUAUGUUGAUAGGAAAAUGAUGCAUUAACAACUCUUAAAGUUGUAUAUAACUUUUUAAUGUGAUGAGUUUAUAUAAUAAAGAUUACGUUUGUAAUUAAAUGAAAUUAAAAAAUAUUAAAAUAAGAGUAUUGAGGAUUGUAUCAUAUGAUGGUAGAUGAUUGUUGUUACUUGAGGUGUCAGCCUAAUUGAUAUGUAAGUUACAUAGUAAUGUCUAACAUAAAAAAAAAUUAUAAAAAAAUAACAUUGAGGAUUGUAAUGUGAUUAUAUAAAAAAAUUGGAUUACAAUAUAUCAUUACCCAUAUUAUAAAAUUUUUCUACAUCAUAUUAAUGUGUGAUUUUUCAAUAUAGAUAGAAGAAUAUACAUCAUAUUUUUCAUCUUAGUAAUGUAUACAUGUGGUCAACCUCUCUCAAUAAACACAAAAUAAGUGAUGAUUGAAAUAAAAAAGUAAAAUCAUGAUUUUAUAAUCUAUAGUAUGUUACAUAUUUUUUUUUUAUUUACAACUAUAUAUUGGUGGAAUUAUUAUGUGUUUCACCAAAAGUUUGUGGAUGUUUAGUACAAAAUAAAAAUUAGAAAAUAUUAUUGGGCAUGAAAAUAUAUUAUUCCGAGAAAAUGGGAUUUUUUAAUAAUUAUGUCUUUUAUUUUGAAACUUAUUUAUAUUAUUUCAAAACGACAAUAUUGAAAAAGAAAAUUNNNNNNNNNNNNNNNNNNNNNNNNNNNNNNNNNNNNNNNNNNNNNNNNNNNNNNNNNNNNNNNNNNNNNNNNNNNNNNNNNNNNNNNNNNNNNNNNNNNNNNNNNNNNNNNNNNNNNNNNNNNNNNNNNNNNNNNNNNNNNNNNNNNNNNNNNNNNNNNNNNNNNNNNNNNNNNNNNNNNNNNNNNNNNNNNNNNNNNNNNNNNNNNNNNNNNNNNNNNNNNNNNNNNNNNNNNNNNNNNNNNNNNNNNNNNNNNNNNNNNNNNNNNNNNNNNNNNNNNNNNNNNNNNNNNNNNNNNNNNNNNNNNNNNNNNNNNNNNNNNNNNNNNNNNNNNNNNNNNNNNNNNNNNNNNNNNNNNNNNNNNNNNNNNNNNNNNNNNNNNNNNNNNNNNNNNNNNNNNNNNNNNNNNNNNNNNNNNNNNNNNNNNNNNNNNNNNNNNNNNNNNNNNNNNNNNNNNNNNNNNNNNNNNNNNNNNNNNNNNNNNNNNNNNNNNNNNNNNNNNNNNNNNNNNNNNNNNNNNNNNNNNNNNNNNNNUAUAGAGUCGUAGAAUUCAUAUUUUGUACUAAUGAAACAUCCAAUGAAGUGACUUAGACGAUAUCUCCACUUGAGUGCAUCUACCUUCGUUGAGUAAAGGUAUCACACCAUAAUCUCACUAACUAAGAUAAAAACAUGUGCUUGAAUGUAUUUGUUUUCGUUGAGCGAGGGUAUCAGACGAAACAUUCACUAUAGUGAUUGAGACAAUCUUUAUGCACUAGAAAAUAGACAUAUAAAAAUGAAACUAUCUCCUUAUGUUCUUCAAAACAUAUUCUCUUAUCAUGUCAUAAGACUUUUUCAUUCUUGAACUAUAAAUGACUAUACAUUACUUUCACAACUUGAUAUAAAUUGGAUGCUUUGAUUUAGACAAAUAAGGAGAGACUACAAUUUCACACGCAAAAAAUGGAGAUUUCAGACUCAACAUGAUCAUGAAGAACAUCAUACACACUACAACUAAUGUUACUCAUUCUACAUGCAACUGGAGAACAUUAGACAUAAUUGUAACAAAUGUUUUUCAGUUUUUACAUGCAACCAUAGAACAUUAGAUACAAAUGCACCAAAUGUUCUUCAGUUCCUACAUGUAACCAGAGAAUGUUAGAAGUAAUAUCAACAGGUUUUUUUUAGCUUCUAUACAUGCAAUUGGAGAACAUCAGAAUCAAAUGCAACAAAUUUUUUCAAGUUUAGCUGACGACUUAUCCUUACAUGCAACCCAAACACUUCAAACUCAACGUGCAACAAAGGUUCAUGCUACUAAAAUCUUCACAAAUGAACAUGCUCUAUUCCAAAUUUAUUAACUAUGAUAAUCUAAAAUAGUUUUCCUUACUUGAAACUUCUCUUUUUUCCAAGAAGCUUCUAACUCGAAUAAGAAAUCACUACAAGAGAAAUAAUUUAUGAGGUGCAAUCGGAUAGUAAAAAAGACUAUAUUUAAAUGGAUAAAGGUAUAGAAAGAAUAUAGAAAAAUCUUAAAAAACUAAAUACAUGUUUAUGAAAAGAUGGGAAUGAGAUAUUACAUAAUGAAUUUUAGAUUGUAAAAAAAUAUUUAUAUUUAUAUAUUUUUAAAUAUUAAAAAAGUAACAUAACAAUGUUACCAUAAAUUUUAAUUAUAUCACAUUAAAUAACUUUUCUUGAAAGGAAAUUAAAUAACUUAAUCAACAUAGAAACAUAUUAUAUUAUACAUGUAUAAUUAUUUUUGCAUUAAAAUUUCAAUUUAAAAAGGUUAGAAUUUACAUUCUCUGUUUGGUGAAAAACUUGAGUAAAAAACAUUAUGGGAAACCAUAGUUUCCUUGAAAUGUUAUGUUUUUAAAAGCAUAAACUAAACAUAGGAAAAUAACAUUUCCAAUUUCAAAUUUCCAAAAAAGACUAAAAACUUUCCUUGUAACAAGCUUUCUUAAGGAAAUAAAAGAGUUUCACUAAUACUAAUUUUUCCUUUAUUUGUAGACUAGAUCAAAACUUUAAUACACCAUUUUUAACAAUUCAAAUCCAAUUUCUUUAGCAUUGAAGAGAGAAUCAAAAUAAGAAGAAAAAGAGGGAGAAAAUGUUACCAUUAAAAAUUGCCAAAAAACAUGGUGGAGAACAGAAAAUCAUCAUCCUCGAAGAAUGUUAUAGUUGAAUUUGAAAAAACUAACUUCUAAAUCAAUUUUUAAUUGAUAAAUUUUGAAAUGAUAAAGUAACUUAUUUAAUCAUGAAUAUUUUAGUAGAAUUAAUUAAUGAAUUAGUUAAUAAAUAUAAAAUAACAUACACCCAAUUAUAAAAAAAUUACAAUCCUCAUAAAUAUUAUAAUAUUAUAAAUAUAAGUUCACAUAAAACAAUAAUCCAUUUCAAUAUUAUAAGUAUUUAGAAGAACUAAAAUUAUAAAAUUAUAUAAAAAAAACAUAUUUAACUCUUAUACAAUUAUAACUUUUCAUUUUCUAAGCAUUAUAAAUUAAAAUUAACCUGAAAAUAUAAUCACUACAUACAAAGCAAUACUUCAAUAGUAUUAAAAAAAAAAACAAUUCCACUACAAUUUAACUACAUAACUACAAGAUCAAAAUAAUAAUUUCCAUAACAUUUCAACAGAAUAAAAAUAAUGGAAACAAAUCUCGUGACAUAUUUUUUUAAUCUUCUCUCCAAAUCUCUUAACUAUGAUUUUUCUUUUUUCCUUCUUUCUCGUUUAUAGAAGUUCAACGUUUGUUAUAAUAGUGAAUCAUUGGUUUUCUUUGUAUCAAUCAACUAAUUAAAGUAAUUUUGAUUGAAAGAGAAAAAUAUACUGAUAAACCAUUAAUCAAAAAUUGAAAUCAUGAAUCCAUUUAAAUUUGUUUAAUAAACUAAAUUACAGUUACUGUGUAACGAACAAAACAUCAGUUUCUUUUGUUUCCGUUUCGCAACCUCGUUCACACAAAACAAGAAUAACAAUAAAUAUAAAUUGAUUUGAAGAUAAAUGAGAAAAAGAAAUAUGAGUGUUAAAAUUGGAACCUAUGUAGCAUAGAUACGGAUACAGGUACUGACAUAGAGAUAUAUAAUAUCUAAAAUGUAGGACACAAGACACGGAUUUAUAAAUUAUAUAAUUUUGAAUUAUAUAAAUUGAAAAUAAAUAAUAUUUAUGUGUAAAAGUAUAUUUCAAAUUCUUUUGAGAGCAGGAUGAUAUUUUUCAUGACUGAUUCAAAAGAAUUUGUUCCCCUUAUUUUUAUAAAUCAUAAUACAAAUUUAUACAAAAAAAAAUGAGUUUUUAAAAAUUAUUGUAUUUAUACAUUUUAAAAUUGUGAUAGAACAGUGGUAGAAUUUUUCAAAAAUCCAACAAAUAUUUUUUGAAUUGAAUACUUAACCGAUAAGUGUCCUACAAGUGUCGACACCUAUACGUAUGUCCGAUACGUCAUUUAAAAAAAGUGUGUAAGACUCUGGUAACCAUUUGAGUUGAUGCAAGGGCGGAAGAAUAUAAAUUAUAAUAAAAAAUAUUGAAAAAAAAACAUUUAUGAAAAAAAGAAAAGUUGGUGGCUCUAGGAUAUGUUUGUUGGAGAAAAUGGAUUAAAAUUAAAAACCGUAUUUAAAAUUCCAACUCACGAAACACCAACCCACCAAAAAAACACGCUCUACUUAACUCAUCCUAAACUAUUUACUACACCUCAACGUGAAGGCGUUACCUACAAAAACACCGAUUCGAGGAAACUGGGUCCCACACGCAUGUUCAUUCAUUCGUGUUCUUCUUCAUGUUCAUGGUAUGUUCUGUUCUCUGUCACACACCUUAAACUCUUCUUUCUCUUCUUUCUUCUUAUUCGCUCUUUCUUCCACCCUUCAUUUAUAUUCCAAUUCUUUCCCACCCCGAAUCUUUUUUCCAGCUUUUUGUCACAUUCUAAACCAAAAUUCCCUUUCUUUCCUUUCGGGGUAUCUUUUUAUCGAGUGCACAAUGCUGUGUGAGUGACUGUGAUCACAGAGAAUAGAGAGAAAGAAAAAAAAGAUCGUUUUUUUUCUUCUGGGUUUUUCUCCCUUUUGUUGUCUCUCCAUUGCUGCGAAUCUUCGCCACCCUCUUGCGCUUUCUGUGAGAGUGUGCCAGGUUUUGGAGGACAGUCCAAGAACGUGAUUCUGGGUGGGUGCAGCGUCGAGGUUUUUGAGAAACAGUCCAAGAACGUGAUUCUGGUGGGUGCAGCAUCAAGGUUUUUGGAGUGAUCACAACGCGAAAUCACGGUAACGUCUACAUUUUUUGAGUCAUCGUCGCCAUUUUUGUCUGCGAUUUCCCGUGACGUUGAGAAUCGCGUGGGAAUCGCAUCGUGAUCAUAUGGGUUUUGUUUCUUGGGUUGUUGGGUUGUUGUUUUUUGUGGGGUUUGAGUGUGCGUGGUGUCAAGAUGAUGUUGUGAUGAACAUGUUGAAGAAGGCCGUCAAAGAAUCGGAUGGUCUUCAAUGGAAUGACCCGGAUGUGUGUAAAUGGAAGCACGUUCAGUGCAGCGCCAUGAAGAGGGUCACUGCAAUUCAAAUUGGGGGACAGAGUUUGCAGGGUUCUCUGCCAAAGGAACUGGGGCAGCUCUCGGAGUUGACACGGUUUGAGUGCAUGAGCAAUAACUUCACUGGGCCAUUUCCUAACAUGCCAAAGUCCCUUGAGGUUCUGCUCAUCCACAACAACAAUUUCCAAUCCUUUCCGGGUGAUUUCUUCACCGGCAUGACCAAUUUGCAGUCUGUGAGCAUUGGCUACAACCCUUUUUCACAGUGGGGGAUUCCUGAUAGCCUCAAGGAAUGUGUGGCUCUCAGGAGUUUCUCUGCAAUCAAUGCUGGCUUUGUGGGGAAAAUCCCUGAUUUUUUUGGUAAAGAUGGUCCCUUCCCAGGUUUGGUUUCUCUUGCCUUGAGUUUUAAUUCUCUUGAAGGAGGGUUGCCUGCAACCCUUUCUGGGAGUUCUGUGGAGACACUAUGGUUGAAUGGUCAGAAAAGUAGUAGUAAACUCAAUGGUACCCUUGAUGUGCUAAAGAGCAUGACAUAUUUGAAACAAAUUUGGGUGCAUGGUAACUCGUUCACAGGUCCUAUACCGGACUUGUCAAAACAUGAUCAACUAUAUGAUGUGAGCUUUAGGGAUAACCAGUUAACUGGGGUUGUUCCACCCUCUCUUACUGCUCUUCCUGCACUUAAAGUAGUGAAUUUGACCAAUAACUUACUUCAAGGCUCUCCUCCCUUGUUCAGAAAUGGAGUGCAGGUUGAUAAUGAUUUAGAGAAGGGGAUCAAUAGUUUUUGCACAAUGGAGGCUGGUAAGCCAUGCAGUCCUCUUGUGGAUGCUUUACUUUCUGUUGUUGAACCUUUUGGAUAUCCUCUAAGACUUGCUGAAAGUUGGAAGGGGAAUGACCCUUGUGGUCAAAGAUGGUUGGGGAUUGUUUGUGCAAAUGGUAACGUUUCCGUCAUUAACUUGCAGAACAUGAAUCUCUCUGGCAACAUUUCUCCCAGUUUUGCUUUGCUUACAUCUGUGACAAAGUUGCUUCUUGGAGGCAAUAGCCUCACUGGUACCAUACCAAGUCAACUCACCAGCAUGCCUCUUUUGGUAGAAUUGGAUGUCUCCAACAAUCAAUUGCUCGGAAAGGUGCCGUCUUUUCGUGGGGGUGUAGCUGUUAAAACUGAUGGGAAUCCUGAUAUUGGAAAGGAUAAACCUCAAGCCCCACCAGACUCCAGUUCUCCGGGUAAAUCUGGAGGUCAAGUUACGAAAAAUAAUACUGGAGCAAUUGUUGGCACUGUGUUGGGAGGUGUCAGUUUACUUGGUUUAGGGGCUUUCAUAUUUCUUAUGUAUAGUAGAAAACGUAAGCGCGCAGGCAAAGUUCAAAGUCCUAGUGCAAUAGUGAUACAUCCUCGUUAUUCUGGAGAUGGAAAUGGUCUGAAGAUAAGUGUUGCAGAUGCUGGUGUUAGUGGUGGUGGAGGUGGUGGUGGAGGAGGAAUUAGUGCUCUCAGUCCAGCUAGUAGUAUUCAACAUGUGGAGGCUGGUAGUAUGGUCAUUUCAAUCCAAGUUUUGAGACAAGUUACAAACAAUUUCAGUCAGGGAAAUAUAUUGGGGAGAGGUGGUUUUGGCACUGUAUACAAAGGGGAAUUGUACGAUGGAACAAAAAUUGCAGUGAAAAGGAUGGAAUCUGGAAUGAUGGGUGAGAAGGGGCUGGGAGAGUUUGAGUCUGAAAUUGCAGUACUUACUAAGGUUCGACACAGACAUCUGGUUGCACUAGAAGGCCACUGCUUGGAUGGACAUGAGAAGCUUCUUGUGUAUGAAUACAUGCCUCAGGGUCCUCUCAGUAAACAUUUAUUUGACUGGAAAGAAGAAGGGAUACAACCACUGGAUUGGAAGAGAAGGCUCUCCAUUGCCUUGGAUGUUGCUAGAGGUGUUGAAUAUCUUCACGGUUUGGCCCAACAAAUUUUUAUCCAUAGGGAUCUAAAACCAUCAAACAUCUUGCUUGGGGAUGAUAUGCGGGCCAAAGUCUCAGACUUUGGAUUGGUUCGGCUUGCCCCAGAAGGACAGACCUCAUUUGAAACUAGGCUUGCUGGUACUUUUGGAUAUUUGGCUCCAGAGUAUGCAGGUACAAAUUUAAAUUGCUUUUGAAAAUUUUGUUUUCAUACAGUUAACACAUCUGAAAAAAAUUUAGGGGAGAACUAUUUGUUCUGCUUGUCAUAUGUGAAAUUUUCUUAUCCAGCAUUGUCAUAUACUUUAAGAAUGGAUGAUGAAUCUGCAACAUGUAGGCACUUAUUGUGCUAUAGGUUUCUACUGUAGUGUCUCUCAUAUGAACCCCUGGAGUUAAUGAAUAAGCUAUGGAGGAAAAGAUUGAUUGCAAAAGUCUAACUACUAUGACUUUUUUCUCAAGUUUUGUCUGGAAACAACUGCAUUGAGAAUGAUGACAUUGUUUAUUAAAUGUUAGCAUAUGAAGACAACAAAAAGACUUAAAAUUCUUUUGUUUAUUUUUUCUGUGUGCUUUCUAAAAACCAUUGAAAUAUUUUGUUUGAUUUGCAAUCCUAUACAGCCUAAUCACAUUGUGUUUUUUUUUCUUCAACAAUGAUCAUUAGAAUGUGUAUUCUUCAUGGUGUUAGCGGCACAUAUAGAAAGAGGAACAUGAUUUGUUUGUGUAUUCUUUCAUCCUUGUAUUAGUUAUUGUACUUUUAAAUUAGUGAAUUAUUCCAUAAACUCUAGAACAAAUAUAUGAAUUUGGUUGUUUUCCAACUCUGAUCAUUAAGAACGUUACUAGAUAUUAAGUUUUAGUAUUAGAAAAGACUAAAUUCACAGACUUUUUAAAAUUGGUAUGACAAAAAGUACAUAUUCUUAAAGCAUUAUUUUCCCUUUACAGAUUACAAUGUCUGUGCCAUGCUUUAUCUACAACUGUGUACAUUAUUGCUUCAUAUUAAUAGGCCAAUUACACUGUUUUUUAGAAUCUGUAGUUCAUGACAUUAUAUCAGAGGUAGUUUUUCCUCCUUUUUGUCCAAUUCCUUGCUAACUAAAAUGGUAUCACUGGCAGUGACUGGACGAGUUACAACAAAGGUUGAUGUUUACAGCUAUGGAGUGAUUCUGAUGGAGAUGCUAACAGGAAGGAGAGCAAUUGACAACAGCCAACCAGAAGAGAAUGUCCACCUUGUUACAUGGUUCAGGAGGAUGCUACUGAACAAGGACUCUUUUGGCAAGAUUGUUGACCCCAUAAUGUGUGUUGAUGAGGAGGCCUUGCCCAGUUGCAGGACUGUGGCUGAGUUGGCUGGUCACUGUUGUGCAAGAGAACCUCACCAGCGUCCAGACAUGAGCCAUGUGGUGAAUGUCCUAGCCCCUCUUGUGGAGAUUUGGAAGCCUUCUGAGACAGAUGAUGAAGAUGUUUAUGGCAUUGACUUGGAUAUGACAUUGCCACAAGCACUCAGUAAGUGGCAGGCUCUUGGAGGAAGGAACACCUUUGAUGGAUCAACCUCUUCAUCAAUGCUUACCAGUGGAGAAAAUACACAGUCUAGCAUACCAACUAGGCCAUUUGGAUUUGCUAAUUCUUUUAAUUCCUCUGAUGGAAGAUGAAGUUUGGUUUACAUUUACAAUACUGCUUCUGUCUAUUUUCUUUUGCUUCUUCCCCAAACUUUGGAACUCUUUAUAGGGUUGGUUUAUACUUUAUAGUGUCUAUAGUUGGGCUUAUACUACACCUUGUACUCCUUAAACUUUCAUGGUCUUUGGUUGGCUUUUGGAUUUUUAAAUUUAGUGGUAUAUUGGAUGCAAGAAACCAGAGAUGCUGAACAAGUUUCAGUUCAACUUGUGUUUUCUUUCUUUUAGACUUCAUUGCAGUGAGCAUGAGAAACAGGAUUUGGUUAUGCUUUUCAUGAUCAACUAUGCUAUUAGAUGAUGUAAAUUAUUACUCAAAGUGUAAAUUAUGAAAGCGACUAAAACUUUCAGGUGUUCAUUUUUUACUCAAAUGAUUUGGUGUUUAGAAUGGAUCAAGAAUGGGGAAGGGAUUUGAACUGUUUAGAAUUUGGAAAAUUUUGGUGAAUGUUUUUGAAAAGUUUGAAAAUUUUAGAUUUUGAGUGAAAUAUGAUGAUUUGAUUAGUGGAUUUCGAGCCAAGAAUAAAUGGUUUCAGUGUUUCAAUUUGUGGGCAUUCUGAAUACAAAACGACAAUUCUUGAAGUUUUAAGUAAAAAAUUGGAAAGCAAAAUUUGAAUAAAAAUUACUAAGGAUCAAAAUUGAACAUUAAGCUCGAUAGAAAGGAUAUUGAUUCCUCAUUGACAUGUAGCCUUAAGUUUUAUUCCAUUACAACACUACUUUUCUUCAAUUUUUAAAUCACAAAUGUAUAUAAAGAUUGGUUAAAAUUAAUUUAUCUCUACACUACUUUGCUCAAGAAAAAAAAUAUAUGAAAGAAGUUGAGUUUGAAAUACAUUGUUUGAAGGAUCUUAGAAGAAGAAAUAUAAUUUAAUUUGAAAUCUCAAUUUUCAUUUUCUAUAAUGAUUGAAGUAUAUGUCAAGUUAACAAGAUUUGUAGAGAAAAUUUUGGAAUUUUUAGACGUAUUCGUUGUAGUCAACUCUUCCACAAAUCAAGACCAAAGUAAUUCAACUGAAGCAAUAAUUUAAUAUGGAGGACUUAUCCAAAGGACUACCAUGACAAAAAGUUCAAAUAGUUAUGGUCUAACAUACACAUGUGUCAAUCCUAAAAUGUCUCACAUAAUUGUUCUUUCAAUAAAUUAUUUCAAAACAUAUAAAAAUAUUACAGAAUGGAAACCGAAUACAAGUUACAAAAAUAAACUAUAGACGUCCAACUAGAGUUGUGAAUACAAAAACUUGUACACAACACAUUACAAAUACAAAAUGAUGGUAACGUCCAACAAAUGGUUAAUGUUAGAAAAGUCAAGUUCUUAAUCUAAGUGUACAACAUAAUAUUCAACAGCAAAGAAAAACUGCUUCUACCAGAAAAAGAAAAUAUAUAAUUACAUAUACAAAACGACGUAACUAUAAAACAUCACAAAAUUAAGCUAAAACACACGUAAUAUACAAUCACAUAUACCUUAUUAGCAAAUACAAGUUUAAGUCUAUAUAGGUUUACUAAAAUUAAAAAGAAAAGAGUUCAUCUCUCAACUAACUUUUUGGCUUCAAAAUUAUUUUUCACGUUAUGUACUUUUAAGAGAAAGAAAAAUUAACAAAGUUUGUAAAUGAAUGUAGUGUAAAAUAUGAAACUAUAUAAAACCAUAAUUUCAAUUUAGGCAUCUUUGUUUUUUUCGAAGUUUGAUUUUUUUUUAAUAUACUUAAGUUAGUCCUAUUAAUAUGAACUUUAGAGUUAUGGUUUUUUUUUUCCUAUUUGUUUUCCUUGAACAAAGUUACUCUAUUUGUGUUAGAUGAAGUUUAUCAAAGUAUGAUAUGAUAAAAAAAAACAAAUAAAUAAUGAUGAAUGAAACAUGUGAUGCGAUAACAAAUUAUACAAAUAACAUUUUAUUUAAUUGAUUGAAACACUACAAUUAGAUCAUACUGGCAUCUAAAUAGUUUUAAAAAGCUUAACUAAUAUUACUUGAGAAUUGAAAGAAGAAAAAUGUUUAGACUUACUUCAUUAGUAAUAAACUUUCAUUCCUAAACCUUUUUAUUAGCUUAUUUUUUUUAAAGAAAUGUUAAUUAUUAAAUGACAUAAAAUAAUUAAAAUUUAUCAAUUUAUUCAAUUUUACGUAUACUUUAAAAAUUCUCUAAAUCAACAUUUGUUUCUUUAUAAUUAUUUUCAAAUCUUUACCCAUAGUAAUGAUCAUUAUUAGAACAAACUAAAAUAAAUAAAUAAAAGUUAGAAACAUACUUUAGAGAAUCAUGAUUUAGAAGAAGAGGCAAAAGGUAUUGAAUGAAUAUUUUAGUAUAUUAAGAUUUUUUUUAGUGUGACCACUUCACCUUAAGAUCUUUUGAUUUCUUGAAAACACAAUAGAAGAUGUUUUUUUAUUCUUCUGAUAAAAGUGUAUAUUUUGCAUCUGAAACCAUCUAUAAUUGGAUAGAAUAUUAUCUUAAACUUGACAUAAAACUUGAUAGGGAAAGAAAAUAAUUUAUUUUUUUUGACAUGUUUUAAAAGUAAAGGAACAACUCCAAGAACAACAUUAAAAAAAAUAGAAGAGGUAACUCUUCAUGAUGGUAUAUAAUUAAGAAUCAUUUAUAUAUGUUGAUUCUUUUAAGGGAAUUGACUAGAAUUCUACACCAAUGAAACUUUGAAUCAAAUAAAAAAAAACCUUAAUGUCAUGGAUUUAUAGGUUUUUUUUCUUCAUAUAUUACUCAUUUUUCUCAUUUUUACUCAAUGUAGUACUUAAAUUUACAUUUGGAUUCUUAAUAAUCUCCUCUUCAAGUAAGAGUUUAAUCCACUUUUUGUUAUUGUAGUUCGUUCGAGCGGAAUAAUUUCUAACCACCCUAACUUAUAUCACAUUAUUGUUCACAUAACCGGAUCAACUUGUUUAAAACUUCCGUCGUUAAGACUACUCAUAUAAAUUAGUCAUCAAAAUAAAUCAUCGAUUCUAAUACCAAUGUUAAGUCUCUCCAAACAAAUUUAUUGAUAGAUUCCAAUAAGACUGAGAAUAAUAUAUAUGCAAUUUUCCACUCAUAUAUGAUCAUUAAUAUCUUUAUAUUGAAUCUUAAUUAAUUGAUUCAUCAUAAUAAUACAUAACUUAAUCGUACUCAAGUGGUACAUAAAUUAGACCAUGUGGCAAAACCUACUUGGAUAGAAGAUAAAAUUUAUCAUAAAUGUUUGAUUUUUUUAGCAUGGAAUGAUUCAAUUCAGUUUGCACACUUUGAUGCUUUGAAGGUGCAAUUUGAAUUGGAAAUUAAGAAUCUCAAGUAUUUUAUUAAAAUUUAUUAAAAUAAAUAAAUCGUUUUUUAGGAACAUAACUUUAUAGUAGUUAUGCUUUUAAAACACAAUUUAUUUAUUUUUUAAUUUAAUUGUAAAAAUCGUAUUUAGAAUUAUGUUUUAUUUUAAUUAACGUAAAAAUUGUACUUAAAACUACAAAUCGAGGUUUUAUUUUCUUUUAAAUAUAGGUAAAAUGUUGUGAGCACAUGUUUAAUAUAAUUAAAUUUAUAUUAAAUAUUAAAGUAAUGUUUAGAAGAUAAGGGGAUGAAUCUAGAAGAUGAAAAUGAAUUAAAUAAUGGUGUGCCACCUAAAUAUUGUUAAUAUAUGAAUGAUGAUGGGUUCAUGAAUUAAACCCUAGAAAGCAACUUGUGAAGGACCUCAAAGUCAAGCACCAAGAAGCUCAUGAGAUAAAGUGGUGCAUGACAAAUACAAUUUUAUUUUAAACAUAAAAAAUGAAAAAUAUUAAAAGUAAUGCUUUUUAACACGACUUAUACAUUAAAAUUAAAAACAAAUUAAUAUAAUUUUUUUAUAAAGUCAUGAUUCUUUAUACAACUUAUUCAUUUACAUAUUUUUUUUUAUAUUUAGAUCCAUAAUUAACAAUUUAAGUUGUAUUCUGAUAUACUUAAUAAUCUUUAAAAAUUGAGAAUUAUGAUAAUUUAAAUACAUAUUUCUUUUUUAAUAUUUUGAUACAUCUUUCAAAAAUAAAAUCGUGGUGGAGUUCAAAACUUUAAAAUUGACAAUAUUUCGUUUAUGAUGAUUGAUUGAACAUUGUUAUUUCAAUAGACUUAAGGUCAGAACAUUGAUACAGGUUGUGAGAAUGGAAAAUUGGUUUCAAAGAAGAAUCUCAUUCCCCUUAAACUUUGAUUGGGAGAUUUGUUUCGGUAUGUUCAAUAGUGUCACCUUUUAGAAGUUAAGGUUAGAGGCAAUGACCUCCCUCGUUUGAGACAUCUUUUAAGGAAAAAAGAAACUAUAAUGGAGCUUCAAACUCUGAAAUAGACAAUGCUUAAUGAUUAACUCUAACGAUGUUAUCUGACAUACUAAAGGUCAAAACAUUGAAUCAUCUAUAAAAAUAGAAAAGUUUUUUCCAAAAAUAAACAUUCGUUCCUCUUAGACCUCGAUUCAUGUUCGUUUUAGUGUGCUCAAUAAUCUCACAUCAUUGAGACACAUUUUAAGGACAAAAUCGUAACGGAAUUCUGAACUCCAAAGUAAACAAUAUUUCAGAUGGGAUAAUUGACCUUAAUAAUAUUAUCUCAAUAAAUUCUUGACCUCUUAACCCUCAACUUAAGAAAUUAAAAAGUGAUUUCAAAAACAAAUUUUCGUUCCCUUUAUUUUAAUACUCUCAAUAGUCUCACAUGAUUAAAUAAGCAAAUGAGAGUAGAAGAAGGUGUGAAUAUUGACCCCUUGGAGGAGAAACAUGUGACAAUUACUAAUUUACCCUUUCACCAUAAAUGUACACAUGUCGAGCAUUAAGUUGUCCCAAGUAUAUAUAUUCAUACAGCUGGAUAAGUAAUACUUCUAUAAAUUCUUAAUUCAUAUUAUACAUAUUAUUUUUAAUGUUAAAAUUUUAAUUUAAAAAGUAAUAAUAUUAUAUAUAUUUUAAUAUAAAAACAUGUAUGAUUAAAACAAUAAUAAAAACAUAUGUUGGACAAUAUUUUUAACUAAGGGGAAAUGCAAUUAUUAAUAAAAACAAAUGUAACUUUAAUACAUAUUUUAUUCAUACAUAUUUUAUUAUGAAUAAAAUAUGUGAGAAAGAAGAAAAGGUUUGUUUUGGAAAAGGUUAGAAUAAAAGGAGAAAAGGUGAGAAAGAAUUAACGGUUUGUUUUGUUGUGAAUAGAUUGAUUAAAAAAAAUAUUAAAUUAAAAUUAAUUUUAGAAAUUAAAAUAAUUAAUAAAUUUAAUUUAAAGAAUUGUUGAUAUCUAAAAUAAUAUUUAUUAUAAUAAAAAUUUAUAAAGUAGUUUUUAAAUUGAUAUCUUAGUUAUUAAAAUUUUAACUAAUAACUAUUUUAUAUUUUAAAUUAUUCUUUAUUUGUAUUUUAGAGACUAAUUUAAAAUUCAAAAUACUAUUACCUAAAAUCUAAGUAAUUAAUAUAUUAAUUUAAAAAUUAUUUUAUAAUUUUUUUAUUAAUAAUAUAAAUAAUUUUAAAUAUUAAUAUUUUUUAAUUUUUAAAAAAUAUCUAAUUUAGACAAUAUAAUAAUAAAUUUAUGUUUAAAUCUAAUUAUUAUUUUUAGGUAUAAUAUUGGAUAAAAAAAAAUCAGUGGAUUAAAAGUACCCAUUAUUAUAACGUUAGAUAGGGUAUUCAAUGGAUUAAAAGUACCAAUUAUUGUCUUGGAGAGAUAUUUUAUUGACCAAAUCUUGAGCCAGAAGAAUAUAUAUCAAUAUUAUUUUUAAUUUUUAAUAUAUUUUAUAUCCAAAAAAUUCGUACACCUAAAAGUAAUUUUUACCAUACCAAAAUAUUUCUUAUAAAUCUGUCACUCCUCUUUACGGGGCAUUUGUGGAAUAUGAAAUGAAUUCAAAUACUAAAGACUUUGACUUUUGAACGUUCAAAUUACUCUAAGUGCUUUAUAAUAAUGUAAAUAAUAAAUAAAAAAAUCUAAUGAAAAGAGUGAAUUUCUUUUUAAAUUUGUAAAUUCUCUAUCAUGAAAUUCGAAAUUUUUUUUUAAAAAAAAUCACAUAUAAAAAAAAUUCUUGUGAGCAUAAAAUUAAUUAAGAUUAUGAUAAAUAAAAGAAUUAAUUAAUUGAUAAAUAGUUUAUUACUGAAUUUUAAUUAUAAUUUAAGAUUCAACCAAAAGGUGAUUAAAUAUUGAAUUACUAAAUUCUCCUUUAAUAUCUAAUAAUAGGAAUAUGGAAUUUAUAUAUUAAAUUAUUAUUUUUCUUUUUUCUAUCGGCAAAUAUUAAUUGUUAUUUGGUAGAAAAGUCUAAUGCACCGCCAAUCAUUCUCUCUCAUCCAUUUCUUCCACAAAAUUAACUUUAUCUCCUAUUAAUUAAUAUUUUUUUUCUAAAAUAAUAAUAUUUAAAUACUCUUCUCUUUUUUCUAAUGGUUUGUCAGAUAUUUAACUUUUCUCUUUUUUAAUUAAAGAUAUUUUAAUAUAAAAAAUAACCACUUUUGAAAAGAAUAUUAUUGGUCAAUUAAAAAAUAACACCCCUUCUAAUAACCACUGAUUUUAGAGGGUGGAUUUAAUCGUAGGGUUAGAGGAUGAUUGUAAUUUAUAAAUUUAAUUAUUCUAAAUUAAAUUAAUGAUGUAUUUUUUUCUGUUAUUGUUAUUAUUAUGUACAGAAUUAUAAAAAAAAAAAUCAGUUUAUUAUUAUUUACUUUGUACGAAUAAACUGUAACUAAACAUAUUGUUUAUAUUAUUUGUUUGAUUCCAUGUAUGAACAGAGACUAGUUUUUGGUUCUUUUUCUGACAUAUAUAAGGUUGUUUAUUUAACACAACUUUCCUCUUUCAAACAUUACAGUUGAACACUUCAGAUGUGAAAGUUGAACCCAAUUGGAGUGACUCCAAAAUCAGUCAAAUAUAGCCGCAGUACAUAGAUUCUGGUUUUCAUAACAUUUUGCAACAAAAUAAAUGGUAGAUAAAACUGAGGAAUGUAAUAAAAUUAUGCAAGUGGUGGCAGAAAUAUGUUUAUUUAUUUGUUUGAAGAUGUUCAAAUGCAAGUGGUAGCAGAAAUAGGAAUAUUCAAGAUGUUCAAAUGCAAGUUGUUAUUAGAGGGCCAUCAAAUAAUUAGUGUUCUUUUUCUGUUCUUGCUCUCUCAAGUUUUUAAUGAAGUUUUUGAUUUUUGGUUACAAAGUGAUGGUUGCUUAAAAUAAGAUGAGAAAGUUUUACCCCAAAAAUGAGGAUGAAGCAAUGACAUAAUCUGAUAAAAGCAUAGAACAGAAGAGAGUCAAGUCAAUGUUCUAAGUCUACACGCUCAAAUAUGAUAGCCGCCACUGAUUCUUCAAUUUAACCAAACCAACCACAAAUGUUUGCAUUUCAUUCACUGCACAAUAGUUGACCAAACCAUGCCUCUCUCCACCCCUUCCUUCUUCCUCCUCACCCUCUUCUUCUUCCUCCUCUUCAAUCUUCAACCCUCUUUCUCCCAACAACAAUUCUCAUCCUUCAACACCUCACACUCCCCAUGGCAACCAUCUCAGAACAGAACCCUUAUCUCUACCAACAAAAACUUCACUGCAGGCUUCUUUCCCCUACCAAACACCACCCUCUUCACCUUUUCCAUUUGGUUUUCUCA